ACUCAAAUGAAUUGACGGGGACCCGCACAAGCGGUGGAACAUGUGGUUUAAUUCGUCAGUAAGCGAAGAACCUUACCAGGGCUUGACAUCUCCGGAAUCCGCUGGAAACAGUGGAGUGCCUUCGGGAACCGGAUGACAGGUGCUGCACGGUCGUCGUCAGCUCGUGCUGUGAAGUGUCCCGUUAAGUCGGUCAACGAGCGCAACCCCUAUUGCAUGUUGCAUUCUCAUGCGAGACUGCCGGUGUUAAAUCGGAGGAAGGUGGGGAUGACGUCAGAUCAGCGUGGCUCUUACGUCCUGGGCUACACACGUGUUACAAUGGGUAAUAACAAAGGGUCGCUAAACCGCAAGGUGGAGCUAAUCCCAUCAAACUUACCCCCAGUUCGGAUUGAGGGCUGAAACUCGCCCUCAUGAAGUCGGAAUCGCUAGUAACCGUAGGUCAGCUACACUACGGUGAAUACGUUCUCGGGUCUUGUACACACCGCCCGU
rnacentral:rRNA from 1 species